CCUCAGAACAAUAACUAAAGCAUAGAAGGAAGGCUAAAAUAAGAAUUCAGAAACUAUAAACCGGCUCUCUUCUAGCUUACGACACAAACUAUGAGUGAGAAAAGGACAAAUGAUUCGCUCUUUGCUUCAUUUUUUCCGAGGUUGUCACAACAUGAAAUGUCAUUUGGACCUAUUGGACUCAUUUUAAUUCGGCCAAAUACAUAGUAACAUACAUAAGAAGAUUUUACUUAUAUUUACCGAACUAUUUGACACGGUCGCGUGAACUUUGUUUACGAGUGUCUUGUGUUCAGAUUGUUUUAAGUGAUAAUUUAACAAUAUUUUUCCAAAUAAAUGGAAAGAAACUUUUAUUUAUAUCAAAUAAUUGAGUGUCUCGACUCUGUGACAUUAUGUCUUGUGUGGUAUGGGGCUGCAGCUCACAUUCAAGAAGAAAAGAAAAUAGCCAACAACUUCUGUCGUUUCAUCGAUAUUAAAUCCAAAAGUGUCGACUGGAUUUACAUGAAAAGUCAGUUCAAGAAGACGAGAUGAAAAAUUUAAAAGAAAAGCUGAACAAGUCACGCCUCAAGAUCAAACGACUUAAUGAAAAAAAAAAUCAAUGUGACAGGGUGUCACAAAGACAGUUUCUAAACAAAUUGACACUUUAGAAAUUAAUAAAUUUGUAUUUAUUGUAAAUAUAAUGUACAUAAUUAAUAACGUGUAUAAUAAAUACUUGCUAAUGAACAGAUUUACGAUCUAAUUUAUAUUUCAUUUUACCUCCUGUUCUUAUUUACUCCUACUCCAACACUCCAGGUUGAUACGAACUGCGCCCAAUAAAGAAUGUAAUGAAUGUUAUAGAUUUGUGUAAGCGACUUAGAUAAAUCUUGACUAAACCUUCCUUUACAAAUACAAAUAUACUUUAUUGCACACAACAUACAAUACUUACAAGUUUUACACGAAAGAUACAGUACACCACCUACCUACCUUUUACUUUCCCUUUCUGUUCUCUUAUGAAUACUUG